UCGACCGCCUGGGGAGUACGGCCGCAAGGUUAAAACUCAAAUGAAUUGACGGGGGCCCGCACAAGCGGUGGAGCAUGUGGUUUAAUUCGAUGCAACGCGAAGAACCUUACCUACUCUUGACAUCCAGAGAACUUUCCAGAGAUGGAUUGGUGCCUUCGGGAACUCUGAGACAGGUGCUGCAUGGCUGUCGUCAGCUCGUGUUGUGAAAUGUUGGGUUAAGUCCCGCAACGAGCGCAACCCUUAUCCUUUGUUGCCAGCGAUUCGGUCGGGAACUCAAAGGAGACUGCCGGUGAUAAACCGGAGGAAGGUGGGGAUGACGUCAAGUCAUCAUGGCCCUUACGAGUAGGGCUACACACGUGCUACAAUGGCGUAUACAAAGAGAAGCGAACUCGCGAGAGCAAGCGGACCUCAUAAAGUACGUCGUAGUCCGGAUUGGAGUCUGCAACUCGACUCCAUGAAGUCGGAAUCGCUAGUAAUCGUAGAUCAGAAUGCUACGGUGA
rnacentral:rRNA from 1 species